rnacentral:rRNA from 1 species
CGCGGCCUAUCAGCUUGUUGGUGGGGUAACGGCCUACCAAGGCGACGACGGGUAGCCGGCCUGAGAGGGCGACCGGCCACACUGGGACUGAGACACGGCCCAGACUCCUACGGGAGGCAGCAGUGGGGAAUAUUGCACAAUGGGCGAAAGCCUGAUGCAGCGACGCCGCGUGAGGGAUGAAGGCCUUCGGGUUGUAAACCUCUUUCAGCAGGGAAGAAGCGCAAGUGACGGUACCUGCAGAAGAAGCGCCGGCUAACUACGUGCCAGCAGCCGCGGUAAUACGUAGGGCGCAAGCGUUGUCCGGAUUUAUUGGGCGUAAAGAGCUCGUAGGCGGUCUGUCGCGUCUGCUGUGAAAACCUGGGGCUUAACCCCGGGCCUGCAGUGGGUACGGGCAGACUAGAGUGCGGUAGGGGAGACUGGAAUUCCUGGUGUAGCGGUGAAAUGCGCAGAUAUCAGGAGGAACACCGGUGGCGAAGGCGGGUCUCUGGGCCGUAACUGACGCUGAGGAGCGAAAGCGUGGGUAGCGAACAGGAUUAGAUACCCUGGUAGUCCACGCCGUAAACGUUGGGCGCUAGGUGUGGGGCUCAUUCCACGAGUUCCGUGCCGCAGCAAACGCAUUAAGCGCCCCGCCUGGGGAGUACGGCCGCAAGGCUAAAACUCAAAGGAAUUGACGGGGCCCCGCACAAGCGGCGGAGCAUGCGGAUUAAUUCGAUGCAACGCGAAGAACCUUACCAAGGCUUGACAUACAGGGAAAACUUCCAGAGAUGGAAGGUCCGCAAGGGUCCUGUACAGGUGGUGCAUGGUUGUCGUCAGCUCGUGUCGUGAGAUGUUGGGUUAAGUCCCGCAACGAGCGCAACCCUUGUCCUAUGUUGCCAGCGGGUUAUGCCGGGGACUCGUGGGAGACUGCCGGGGUCAACUCGGAGGAAGGU